ensembl:rRNA 5S_rRNA 5S ribosomal RNA
AUUUACAGCCACAUCACCCUGCAGCCAAGACUGGUUACCCACUGAAGCUAAGCAGGGCUGAGCCUGAUCAGUAUCUGGAUGGGAGACCACAUGGAAAAACUUGGUUGCUGUUGGAA